AAGCCAUGGUGAGGGCACCUUCUUAAAAGGUCCUUGUAUCUCUCUCAUGUAUCGUAGAAUGUUUUUAAAUCCAUCUGCACAAAAGAAGAGAUAUCAUUACGUAAAUU
rnacentral:snoRNA from 1 species